rnacentral:rRNA from 1 species
AUGGGGAAGAAGCACGGUCGGUCGCCGUUUCUGGAUGCUGUGAUCACUACUUCUAUCUCCUACACACAGCUCCAAGCUACCAACCCGAGCCUGUGCCAGCGCACGAGCACGUCCAUGACCAGUGCGCAGUCACAGUCCCUCAUUGCUGAGCGGAACUCUGCCUACUUGGAGUACACACGUCAGGAGACCAUGACGUGGCACGAGAGCCUUCAUGCAUACCAUCAGCAGAGGGAUCGCACGUUGCAACACUUCCUUGAGGAAAUGGCGGCCGGCAGGGUUCCUCAAUUGCAACCAGCACCAUCUCCUCCACCACAACCAGUGCUUCUUACUUUUGAAGGAGUUUCUGACACAGAACCCUGGCCCCUCGCCGGGAACUGGUGGAUCUACCGUUGGUGGUGGUGCUGGUCUUGGCAUCACUCCCGAGUCACGGAGCCCGGUCACUCCUAUCGACGGAGGCGGCGGCGGUCUUGGCGGUAG